GAAUGCUGACAUAAGUAACGAUAAAGCGGGUGAAAAGCCCGCUCGCCGGAAGACCAAGGGUUCCUGUCCAACGUUAAUCGGGGCAGGGUGAGUCGACCCCUAAGGCGAGGCCGAAAGGCGUAGUCGAUGGGAAACGGGUUAAUAUUCCCGUACUUGGUGUUACUGCGAAGGGGGGACGGAGAAGGCUAUGUUGGCCGGGCGACGGUUGUCCCGGUUUAAGCGUGUAGGUGUGUGUUCCAGGUAAAUCCGGUUCACUUUAACACUGAGGCGUGACGACGAGGCACUACGGUGCUGAAGCAACAAAUGCCCUGCUUCCAGGAAAAGCCUCUAAGCAUCAGGUAACAUCAAAUCGUACCCCAAACCGACACAGGUGGUCAGGUAGAGAAUACCAAGGCGCUUGAGAGAACUCGGGUGAAGGAACUAGGCAAAAUGGUGCCGUAACUUCGGGAGAAGGCACGCUGACACGUAGGUGAAGUGAUUUACUCAUGGAGCUGAAGUCAGUCGAAGAUACCAGCUGGCUGCAACUGUUUAUUAAAAACACAGCACUGUGCAAACACGAAAGUGGACGUAUACGGUGUGACGCCUGCCCGGUGCCGGAAGGUUAAUUGAUGGGGUCAGCGCAAGCGAAGCUCCUGAUCGAAGCCCCGGUAAACGGCGGCCGUAACUAUAACGGUCCUAAGGUAGCGAAAUUCCUUGUCGGGUAAGUUCCGACCUGCACGAAUGGCGUAAUGAUGGCCAGGCUGUCUCCACCCGAGACUCAGUGAAAUUGAACUCGCUGUGAAGAUGCAGUGUACCCGCGGCAAGACGGAAAGACCCCGUGAACCUUUACUAUAGCUUGACACUGAACAUUGAGCCUUGAUGUGUAGGAUAGGUGGGAGGCUUUGAAGUGUGGACGCCAGUCUGCAUGGAGCCGACCUUGAAAUACCACCCUUUAAUGUUUGAUGUUCUAACGUGGACCCGUUACCCGGGUUGCGGACAGUGUCUGGUGGGUAGUUUGACUGGGGCGGUCUCCUCCUAAAGAGUAACGGAGGAGCACGAAGGUUGGCUAAUCCUGGUCGGACAUCAGGAGGUUAGUGCAAUGGCAUAAGCCAGCUUGACUGCGAGCGUGACGGCGCGAGCAGGUGCGAAAGCAGGUCAUAGUGAUCCGGUGGUUCUGAAUGGAAGGGCCAUCGCUCAACGGAUAAAAGGUACUCCGGGGAUAACAGGCUGAUACCGCCCAAGAGUUCAUAUCGACGGCGGUGUUUGGCACCUCGAUGUCGGCUCAUCACAUCCUGGGGCUGAAGUAGGUCCCAAGGGUAUGGCUGUUCGCCAUUUAAAGUGGUACGCGAGCUGGGUUUAGAACGUCGUGAGACAGUUCGGUCCCUAUCUGCCGUGGGCGCUGGAGAACUGAGGGGGGCUGCUCCUAGUACGAGAGGACCGGAGUGGACGCAUCACUGGUGUUCGGGUUGUCAUGCCAA
rnacentral:rRNA from 2 species